rnacentral:rRNA from 1 species
UACGUAGGGUGCAAGCGUUGUCCGGAAUUAUUGGGCGUAAAGAGCUCGUAGGCGGUUUGUCGCGUCUGCUGUGAAAACGCGAGGCUCAACCUCGCGCCUGCAGUGGGUACGGGCAGACUGGAGUGCGGUAGGGGAGAUUGGAAUUCCUGGUGUAGCGGUGGAAUGCGCAGAUAUCAGGAGGAACACCGGUGGCGAAGGCGGGUCUCUGGGCAACAACUGACGCUGAGGAGCGAAAGCGUGGGGAGCGAACAGG